UGCCAGCAGCCGCGGUAAUACGAACGGUGCGAGCGUUAAUCGGAAUUACUGGGCGUAAAGCGCGCGUAGGUGGUGUGUUAAGUCGGAUGUGAAAGCCCUGGGCUCAACCUGGGAACUGCAUCCGAUACUGGCACGCUAGAGUGCAGUAGAGGGAGGUGGAAUUUCCGGUGUAGCGGUGAAAUGCGUAGAUAUAUGGAGGAAUACCAGUGGCGAAGGCGGCCUCCUGGCUCGAUACUGACGCUGAGGUGCGAAAGCGUGGGUAGCAAACAGGAUUAGAUA
rnacentral:rRNA from 1 species